UACGUAGGGUGCGAGCGUUAAUCGGAAUUACUGGGCGUAAAGCGUGCGCAGGCGGUUCGUUGUGUCGGUGGUGAAAUCCCCGGGCUUAACCUGGGAAUGGCCAUGGAAACUAGCGAGCUGGAGUGCGGCAGAGGGGGGUGGAAUUCCGCGUGUAGCAGUGAAAUGCGUAGAGAUGCGGAGGAACACCGAUGGCGAAGGCAGCCCCCUGGGCUAGCACUGACGCUCAGGCACGAAAGCGUGGGGAGCAAACAGG
rnacentral:rRNA from 1 species